rnacentral:lncRNA from 1 species
UGAUUUUGUUGUAAACAUGGAUAAAACUUGUUUUAGUUGCUUAUAAGCUAUUGAUUAAACCCAUACUUGAAUUCUAAAUCGUGAUAUUGUAAGCUUAUGAGUAUUCGAAUAUGAAAUAAUAGUAUGGUGUAAAAUUGAAUUAUUCAUUGGAAAGUGAUGGAUGUAGAUUCGGUCAAGACCAAGUCUGUACAUGAUAGUAUAUGUGGUAU